CAACAGUGAGCGCGGUGCAUUGUGGGAACCGUAUUGACGGACCGGGGCGCAGACAGAGGCCGACGCUUGAUUGAGGUUGGUGUGAGUGCUGUGCAAAGGCAGUGUGAAACAAGCGCCGAUGCAGUACUGCCUCUUGGCCACAAGAUGGUGCACAAGACCUGCGAUUGAGAGGAAACAGAGGCAAAUGGCUUCAUCAGAGGAAAACCUGCACCAGCAACACUGGCAGUGAGACGUUUGCCAUUUUUGUGAUAAACUCCAGAGAUGGUAAAGUUUGGGUGGCGCUUUCCCAUGGCCCAGAACCGACAGAACAAACUCUUGGAGAGAGCUAAGAAAACACGGCAACAAAAACCCAAUGAUCCGCAGCACUCAGGGUACAAAUGAAAAAAAGAAAAGAAAAAAGAAGUAAUCAAGCAGCCUCUUAAGAGCCUAGAUCCACAAGACUGGAGGUUAGAGGUCCCAACAAGGAGUCCUGGAGUUGGUGCGGGUGUCCGUGCAUGCCGUGCACAGACUGUGGGGCACCCAGGCCGGACAUGGGGUAAGAGGAGGCCCCGGGGUGGCUCAUGUUGCCCUGGAGCAAAAGCACUGAGUUCUGGUCGGGGCUCUGAGGCGGAGAAAACUCGUCCUCCGAGCUGGACAUGAGAGACUUUCCUCCGUCCAACGGGGACAGCUGGUUCUGUUUGUUGCUGCCUGCGUUGUUGUUUUCACUGUUCUCUCUAGAAAUUACAAUAGGGAAAAUUUAGGCACAGCACCUACUUUGUAAAGUAUACCUUCCUAUUCCAUAAAUCAGUAAAUUAGAGCUACAUGAAACAUUUGGAGAUGAACAAGGCCUAUAAACAGUAUAAAAGACAGCCAUAUUUACUUUAGAAUAACAGCUAGAAUAACAACAGGCCUAAAGCAAAAACAAAUCUGAGAGGUUUAGCUCCUCGUCUUCUCUGCACUAAUUCACUGUAAUUCGUUUAUGUUUCUUUUUUGCCGAUUCGUAUGAGAAUCUGUAAAAAUGAGUACAUUUAUUGUCUGUGUUGUUUUCUUUUUUUUUUUUUUAAUCUAAUUUUGCUCAAAUUAACCUUCAUCACCUAUCAUCUCAGCAGCUCUGGGUUGUCCAAAAAUGGGACCACAUUAAGUCACUUUUUUGAGCUGGUCCUUCCGCAAAAAAUAUUUAAAUUACAGCUCUAUUUACAUUCUCUGAAGCUCCAUUUUGGUUUUCUUGCAGGGUUUAAGUUAUAAUUAAGGUUCAGAAGGCGAGUGGAUUAGUUUCUGAAGAGAGUUCAUCAACUGUCAACAAUAUGCUACUGUGUAACCACGGUACAGUCACUGUAACCAGGAGAGAGGCCUGUUUUGGUGAUAG